UACGUAGGGAGCAAGCGUUAUCCGGAAUUAUUGGGUGUAAAGGGUGCGUAGACGGGACAGCAAGUUAGUUGUGAAAGCCCUCGGCUUAACUGAGGAACUGCAACUAAAACUAUUGUUCUUGAGUGCAGGAGAGGAAAGCGGAAUUCCUAGUGUAGCGGUGAAAUGCGUAGAUAUUAGGAGGAACACCAGUGGCGAAGGCGACUUUCUGGACGAUAACUGACGUUGAGGCACGAAAGUGUGGGGAGCAAACAGG
rnacentral:rRNA from 1 species